AUGGUACUCCACUAUGUGGCUGUGGUUUUUUUGUUUGUUUGUUUGUUUGUUUGUUUUUAAGACUUUUUGGUUUGUUUUUUUUUUUUUUUCCGGAUCUGGGGACCGAACCCAGGGCCUUGCAGUUGCUAGGCAAGCGCUCUACCACUGAGCUAAAUCCCCAACCCCAAGACUUUUUGUUUAAAACAAGGUCUUGUGUGGCCUGGGCUAGCCUGGAGUUUGCUGUAUAGUGUUGGAUGAACUUAAACUCCUGAUUCUCCUACCCCAACCUCUCAGUGCUGGGACCACAGGCAUGGGACAUUAUGCCCUGCUGGAAAUGCCACGUUUUGUCUGUCUAUCCAUCUGCUGGUAGACAUCUGGGCCGUGUUGUAGUUUGAGGCAGAUAUGAAUGGAGCUGUUGGUAGCAUUCCUGUGCAGGUCUCUGUGUUGAUACAGCCUUACGUUAUUUUAUAUACGUGCCCAGCGACUAAGGCUGAGAACUGUCGCCUGUGUCCUCGAGUCCUUCAUGGAUUCUCUUUCGGAAGCAGCUCUCAGUCAUCACUCAUUUUUAUCAGGAGGCUUAGUGUCUCACUGUUGGCCAUAAAAAUCUUAUAUUUUCCCAUAAAUCUGUGCAAGGAUUGAAUCUUUACUGCUGGAUAUUCUACACCCAAGUAGGGUCUUCCCAUUCUGAGUUUCCCAUUUUAUUUUCCUAAUUACAUCUUUUGAAUAGCAGGCAGUUUUAAUUUUGUUUUUUAAAAAAAUCUAAUUUUUUUCUUUUUCUUUUUUAACAACUGAAUCCACAGCUUUAGUGUGGGUUAGGCAAGCCCAGCACUGAACCAGAGCCCCGGACCCAAGUUCAACAGUUUUGAGUUUCUCAGCUCAUUCUCCUCCUUCCCUCACUCCUUCCUUGCCCCGCGCUCGCUCUCGCUCUCUCUCUCUCUCUCUCUCUCUCUCUCUCUCUCUCUCUCUCUCCUCUCCUCUCCUCUCCUCUCCUCUCCUCUCCUCUCCUCUCUCCCCCGCCUUCUGUUUUGUUUUCUCUAUAUGGCUCUGACUGACCUGAAACUCCAUCUAUAAACCAGGAUGGUCUUGAACUCACAAAGUUCCGCCUGCCUCUGCCUCCUGAGUGCCAGGAUGCUUCAGCUCAUGCACCUUACAGCCUACCUUAUAGUCUUUGUAAUGCACCUUUUGCAGGCUUGUUUUGUUUUUGUAACUCUAUCCCAUGUUGGCUGUAAACUCGUGGAAAUCCUCCUGCCUGAGUUUCCCAAGGGCUGAAAUCACUGCUGUGAGCCAUCAUACCUGACGGUGUUCUUUUAACUUAUAAAAGUAAAACUCUAUAAUUAUAACUCUUUUAUUAAUUAAAACAGAGUUUUCUUUUUACAUUCUAUCCAUUUCUUAUGUCUGGAACUUCUUGCUUUAAAUUGCUAUGUAUCAUCUAUGACAUCAUCCUGCCUCUUGCCCACUCACCCCUGCCCUACAUCUAUGACAUCAUCCUGCUUCUUGUCCACUCACCCCUGCCCUCAGUGUAGACGUUCACUCCCUCUAGCUGCUUGGUCCAAAACAACGUGUGUCUCUGAUGAGCUGUGUGGAAUAUAAGGGGAAAGCAAUCUCAUGCAGCCCAGGCUGGCCUUACACUGGCUCUGUGGCCAAGGAUGACCCUUCUUCCUGUACCUUCCGAGCACUGAGACUGCAGCACACCGCCAUGUCUGGCACCGCCUAGGAUGUCUGCAUUAAGGUUUGUCUCUUCCUCUCUCUUAGAUGCUUAAGGCACUGAGAUGCCUCCUCUUGACUGUCAGCUUAAUUACAACCAGAAUUUUCAAGGAGAUUAAUAAAGGACGUCCUCGGUGUGCCUCUGAGGGUAUUUCCAAGGAGAACUAAGUUGGGAAGAUGGGGGUGUGGCAGCAUCUCCCAUGCUGAGGGCCUGGAAAGAACAGAAGUGGCAAGGGAGACAGCAGUGGACGCCUUUCCCACUCCAGAUUGCCGUGUUGUCAGUUGUCCCGCUCAGUCACAGCUGCCCAGCCACAGUGGACAGAGGCUCAGAAGCAAGAGCCAAGUCACUAAUUCCUCUCUUUGCUGCUCUAGGGCACUUGUCACAGUGAAGGAGACUAUAAUUAGCACUGUCACAAAGGUAUUCUUUCACUUUCUCCUAAUUGACCACACUCCUUGGGAUCUUUUCUUCUGAAAAUUUUCUUUUUUUGAAUGUGUUCGUAAUGCCUGUGUGCACCCGUGCAGGUGUUCUGGCAGGAUAAGUGAGUGGGACUGGACACCCCCACGGGGAGGGAGGGGAAAGGAGGGGGGAGAGGGAGAGGGGGAACGCUUGAGUCACAGAUUCACAUGAUGUGGGUUCUGGGAAUGGAACUGUGGUUCUCCCAAGAGGCAGUGCAGUCAUGCUGCUAACCACAGAGCCCUCCCCAGCCCUGACCCUGGAAGCCUGAGGCGUCUCUAAGGUCUUCGUUUAUGUGUGGAUUUCAUGGAAACAACACUCCUCAACCUCUUUAGUGAAGCGUGUGUCCUUCCUGCUCUUGGUGUUGCCAUCACACUCAUUAAAUUCCUGUAUACACGGUUUCUGCCUCUGCUCUCUAGCUUUCAAAUUAUUCCCUUCUUAAAAAAAUUCCCGGGGCUGGGGAUUUAGCUCAGUGGUAGAGCGCUUACCUAGGAAGCGCAAGGCCCUGGGUUCGGUCCCCAGCUCCGAAAAAAAGAACCAAAAAAAAAAAAAAAAAAAUUCCCCGUGUUAGCAUCAACACUACCAUUUUCACUGUGUGACAUUAAAAAUGUCUUCAUACGUGAGAGGGUGAGAGCCCCUCCUCGCUACGGAAAGUAAUCAAUCUGGAUUUGUGCAGCUUCAAAGAUGCACCAAGCCCAGGAGGGGAGAGGACAACGGCAAAGGUCAGAUGUCCAGACAAGAGGGCAACAGCCUGAGUUCUGAACCCGUGAAGGGUAUGGAUGGCAAGGGCAGUCAACAGCACACACACACACACACACACACACACACACACACACACACACACACACACACAGGACAGAGAGCCGGGUUAUUCUGGGGCUGGGUGUGGCUCGGCUUGGGGAAGCUUGCCUUGCACGCAUGGAACCCUGGGUUUGAUCCCCAGCACCACAUGAAGAUGAGGGGUGGUGACACACACCUGUAAUCCCAGCACACAGGAGGUGGAGGCAGAAGAAUCAGCAGUUCAAAGUCAUCCUCGGCUGCGUAGGGAGUUUUAGGUCAGUUUGGGCCACAUGAGACCUUGUCUCAAAGAAAAUAAAAACUGUGAUUCUAGAACGGCUCACUGGUGGCUUUUUCUAACAGUCCACAAACUGACCCAAAAAUGCAAAUUCAUCCUUCGUGACAGAGGUAACGCCACAUAUUUUCACUUCAUUCAUAAUUAGACCGAACCUACUUAUCAGAAGUCUACAGAAGAAAUUACUGAAUGAUAAGAAUCUGAUUUAAGCAAAACCAGAAGAGCAUUUGCCUGGGGUUCACUGCAGACUCAAGUCUCUGUUGAGCAGUGGGUGGAUUGUGCAGUGGUGACCCGCUGUGGUGAGCCACUGGGCUCUGACGGUUCCCCUCUGCUCACACACCCCAUUCUGAGCCGCGCUCUGAAAUCAGGAAGUUUCCAGUACUGCCUUUGAACGGGCUUGGUAGGGAAUCACUGCUACUCUUGCUUAAGUUUCCGAUCUGAGUUAGCUCAGCCGUGAGGUCAGCCGGCUGUGCCUGUGCAGUGAGGAACUCUACCUACAGUUAGGACCAAUGCACACUGAUGGCAGUAUGAUGUCUGGGGUAAUUUUACAGUAAGACUCCUGGGUAUAGGGGAGGGGGUACGGUUCAAACAUAAAUACUCUCUUGGAUGAAUGUACGCAUAAUCUCCCCCAGUUUACUUGCAUGGAGACCUCCACCCCACCUUUCAUUUUGUUUCCUCUGAGGUAAACUCAGAAUUCCCCAAGAGGACUCUCUGUCCUGAGCUAGCUGUGGACAGAAAUGCUACCUAUGGGCAAGCAGAAGGAAAGAGAGCUCUGGACAAAAGGACCCUGUCUCACAUAGGUGGAGGAUCAGACCCCUAGACACCAAGUGCCAAGACCAGAAUGCAGACCUGUCUCCACUUAGGACCGACUCAUUUAAAACUAAGCUUUCCCAUGGGAGAGGUGACACGUGCCUUUAAUCAUGGCAGAGGCAGAGGCAGAGGCAGAGGCAGAGGCAGAGGCAGAGGCAGAGGCAGAGGCAGAGGCAGAGGCAGAGGCAGAGGGGCAGAGGCAGAGGGGCAGAGGCAGAGAGGCAGAGGCAGAGGGGCAGAGGCAGAGGGGCAGAGGCAGAGAGGCAGAGGCAGAGGGGCAGAGGCAGAGAGGCAGAGGCAGACGGGCAGAGGCAGAGGCAGAGGCAGAGGCAGAGGGGCAGAGGCAGAGGCAGAGGGGCAGAGGCAGAGGCAGAGAGGCAGAGGCAGGGAGGCAGAGAGGCAGAGAGGCAGAGGCAGGGAGGCAGAGAGGCAGAGGCAGAGGCAGAGGCAGAGGCAGAGGCAGAGGCAGAGGCAGAGGCAGAGGCAGAGGCAGAGGCAGAGGCAGAGGCAGAGGCAGAGGCAGGGAGGCAGAGAGACAGAGGCAGAGGCAGAGGCAGGGAGGCAGAGAGACAGAGGCAGAGGCAGAGGCAGAGGCAGAGAGGCAGAGAGGCAGAGAGGCAGAGGCAGAGGCAGAGGCAGAGAGGCAGAGAGGCAGAGGCAGAGGCAGAGGCAGAGGCAGAGGCCGGCAGAUCUCUGUGAGUUUGAGGACAGUCUGGUCUAUAUAGCCAGUCCCAGGCUAGCCAGUGCUGCACUAUAAGAUCCUGUCUUUUUUUUUUUUUUUCCUUUUUUCUUUUUUUCAGAGCUGGGGACCGAACCCAGGGCCUUGCGCUUGCUAGGCAAGCGCUCUACCACUGAGCUAAAUCCCCAACCCAAGAUCCUGUCUUAAAACAAACAAAAG